rnacentral:pre_miRNA from 1 species
AGCGAGGUUGCCCUUUGUAUAUUCGGUUUUUUGAUGUAGAAUAUACAAGGGCAAGCUCUCUGU